AUUGAACGCUGGCGGCAGGCCUAACACAUGCAAGUCGAACGGUAACAGGAAGCAGCUUGCUGCUUUGCUGACGAGUGGCGGACGGGUGAGUAAUGUCUGGGAAACUGCCCGAUGGAGGGGGAUAACUACUGGAAACGGUAGCUAAUACCGCAUAACGUCUCAAGACCAAAGAGGGGGACCUUAGGGCCUCUUGCCAUCGGAUGUGCCCAGAUGGGAUUAGCUAGUAGGUGGGGUAACGGCUCACCUAGGCGACGAUCCCUAGCUGGUCUGAGAGGAUGACCAGCCACACUGGAACUGAGACACGGUCCAGACUCCUACGGGAGGCAGCAGUGGGGAAUAUUGCACAAUGGGCGCAAGCCUGAUGCAGCCAUGCCGCGUGUAUGAAGAAGGCCUUCGGGUUGUAAAGUACUUUCAGCGGGGAGGAAGGGAGUAAAGUUAAUACCUUUGCUCAUUGACGUUACCCGCAGAAGAAGCACCGGCUAACUCCGUG
rnacentral:rRNA from 1 species